rnacentral:tRNA from 1 species
GCCUCCAUAGCUCAGCGGAUAGAGCAACGGUCUUCUAAACCGUCGGUCGCAGGUUCGAGUCCUGCUGGGGGCGCCA